UACGGAGGGGGCUAGCGUUGUUCGGAAUUACUGGGCGUAAAGCGCACGUAGGCGGCUUUGUAAGUUAGAGGUGAAAGCCCAGGGCUUAACCCCUGGAAUUGCCUUUAAGACUGCAUCGCUAGAAUCGUGGAGAGGUGAGUGGAAUUCCGAGUGUAGAGGUGAAAUUCGUAGAUAUUCGGAAGAAACACCAGUGGCGAAGGCGACUCACUGGACACGUAUUGACGCUGAGGUGCGAAAGCGUGGGGAGCGAACAGG
rnacentral:rRNA from 1 species